rnacentral:hammerhead_ribozyme from 1 species
AUCCAGUUGACGAGUCCUAAAUAGGAUGAAACGGGCGUCCUGGAU